rnacentral:lncRNA from 1 species
CCACACGACAUAAUAGAAAUACAGGUCAAGCAUAUAAGGUGUAGCAAAAUUAUGGGAUAAACAUACAAAAGAGAACUUGAGGAAAGAUUAAUGAGGCAAAGAAACAGAGCAUUAGACAUGGCGAUUUUUUAUUUAUUUUUACUUGUUUCUGGUGUUAAUCCCAGGAGAUGUUAAGUGGGAUUCCAGUGAAAAUGAAGGACACAAGAAAGAGUAGAAGAGUGAGAAGACCAAAUUUCACCGUAGUGAUGUUACGAAAUAUAUUGAAAGGAAUCCCAUUUCGAAUGAUUCUCUAUAAUUAUAAAUUUGAGAAUGUUGGCUAGGACUGGAAAAGCAAAAGUGAUAUCAAAUUGAUCUCAAGAUUGUGUUUUGGGCUGAGCAUUCUAUUUAUAUUCACCAUUUUUUGAG